rnacentral:scRNA from 1 species
CUCGGCCUGUACAGCUGCCUGCACGGAUGCAG